rnacentral:rRNA from 1 species
AGUGAACGCUGGCGGUAGGCCUAACACAUGCAAGUCGAACGGCAGCACAGUAAGAGCUUGCUCUUACGGGUGGCGAGUGGCGGACGGGUGAGGAAUACAUCGGAAUCUACUUUUUCGUGGGGGAUAACGUAGGGAAACUUACGCUAAUACCGCAUAUGACCUACGGGUGAAAGCAGUGGAUCUUCGGACCUUGCGCGACUGAAUGAGCCGAUGUCGGAUUAGCUAGUUGGCGGGGUAAAGGCCCACCAAGGCGACGAUCCGUAGCUGGUCUGAGAGGAUGAUCAGCCACACUGGAACUGAGACACGGUCCAGACUCCUACGGGAGGCAGCAGUGGGGAAUAUUGGACAAUGGGCGCAAGCCUGAUCCAGCCAUACCGCGUGGGUGAAGAAGGCCUUCGGGUUGUAAAGCCCUUUUGUUGGGAAAGAAAAGCAGCAGGUUAAUACCCCGCUGUUCUGACGGUACCCAAAGAAUAAGCACCGGCUAACUUCGUG